CUUUCCCUAUUUCAGAGCUCACCACUGUAUUCUAAACAGAAGCCAAUAGAGGGAGAAAAACAAAGCCAAGUGCAAAAGCUGUGGGCACUGAAAGUUUUGCUCCACCGGCCGCGCAGCACCCACUUGGGGUCGGGCUUUGGGACUUGGGGGAGUCAGGAGCAGGCGGGGGCUGGGGAGAGGACGAGGCCCUGGGGAGGGGCUGGAAAAGGCUUUUCACAGCGACUGGCACUUGAUAUUUCCAAGUCUUCUGGAUGUCACUCACCGGAAACCAGACCCUGCGGUGCGAAGACUCAGGACUCUGUGAUGUGGUGAGCUGGCCUUAUUCACCUUCUCCAUACCUUUCGAGGAUUUGGAUGCGUCUCUUGCACCUAUCUUAGCCGUCUUUCUUCCAUCCUGAAGAGACAUGCAUCUCUGUGGUGGCUCCUCCCUCCCCAAGGUCAUCGUGGCUGACUUGGGACCUUUCCCAGCUCUGUGUGUCUGUCUUGAAACACAGUUUAUCUUCUCUCCAUUGGUGCAUCCCAUAAGUGGCAAAGGCAAAAGCUGGACUGCAUUGUGUGGCCCCAGGGAGCUGCAGACAGAGGAACUGAGUCCUGGCCACUGUGCCUGCUGUCUCUUACAAGUUUAGAGAUGCUGGCAUUGCAUCGAAAUCGGACAACACUCCCUUCCCUCCCUUCCCAGGUACUCCAUUCCCAACCUUUUCCACCAACAGGUCCUUAUUCUCAGAAGCCAAAAAUAAUUUAUUGGUUUCCACUGUUCUCCUUGGCUGAAUCUUCAAGUACACCAACUCCCCCCUCUUCUGGACAGACUCUCCAUAAUUCAGCCAGCAUCUAAUCAGCACCUUGCUUCUCUUCCAUUCUUCCUUUCUCCAGAGUCAUGAUUCUUCCUUCUCAAGUCAAAGAGGAAUUACAAGCAAAUAGACACUAUCCUUGAAUGCAGUUUGGGUUACACAGAAUGGGGAAUGAACUCAAUCUCAUUUUUGCUUCUUUGUUGAAAUAAGCUCAGUAUCUCCCUUGCACAGAGAUUGAAUCGGCUUCACUAAGGCAAGCAGCAUUUCCUCUUUUCUCCCAGUCAGCAUCGCAGCUCUCUGCAUUCCCCUCUCGCAGAGGUGACUAUUCAUUGUGUUCUUUCCAGGAAUGUUUUCUGAGCUUCAGGAGGCCCUGAGUUACCUGGAUAAUUAGUGCUGUCCUUUUGCACAAUGCAAAAACAAAACUAUUAUGAGAUAAUUUCUUUAGCUAAGUUGGGAAUGGGGUUUAAAUGCGUGGGCAAAUAGAUCUGGCAGUCAAAUUCAGACUGUCAUAUUUUGUGAUCCACCCUCCCACCGAUCAUAGCAUAUAAGACUCUGAUGAACUUCACCAGCAACAGGGAAUUCUCCCUCCACUGCAGAUAAAACAAUGACAAUAUGGAAGUGAAAAAUGAAUAAUUCAAAAAUGGAAUUCUCUGUGGGGCUCCGUGCAGUGUGUGUUUCUGUGUGUGCAUGUGUUUUAUACAAGUCUCUGUUACUUUUGUAGUUUGGAUUGGACUUCCGUCGGUCCAUUAAUUUUGUUACUGGAUCCCACCACUUACCCAAAAUUAGCCUUUGGGUUGGGUGUUUCUGCAGUAUAGUCCCUUCUGUGGACACCAGAAAGAUAUUACAGGAAAGGGGUCCUGAUCAAGACCCCCAGAGACGGUUCUUGGACCUGGUUGGGAGGCCGAGGAUCACUUGAGGUCAGGAGUUCGAGACCAGCCUGACCAACAUGG
rnacentral:lncRNA from 1 species